UGGGGAAUAUUGCACAAUGGGCGAAAGCCUGAUGCAGCAACGCCGCGUGAGGGGACGACGGCCUUCGGGUUGUAAACCUCUUUUAGCAAGGAAGAAGCGAAAGUGACGGUACUUGCAGAAAAAGCGCCGGCUAACUACGUGCCAGCAGCCGCGGUAAUACGUAGGGCGCAAGCGUUAUCCGGAAUUAUUGGGCGUAAAGAGCUCGUAGGCGGUUUGUCGCGUCUGCUGUGAAAACCCGAGGCUCAACCUCGGGCCUGCAGUGGGUACGGGCAGACUAGAGUGCGGUAGGGGAGAUUGGAACUCCUGGGUGUAGCGGUGGAAUGCGCAGAUAUCAGGAAGAACACCGAUGGCGAAGGCAGAUCUCUGGGCCGUAACUGACGCUGAGGAGCG
rnacentral:rRNA from 1 species